UACGUAGGGGGCAAGCGUUAUCCGGAUUUACUGGGUGUAAAGGGAGCGUAGACGGCAGGGCAAGUCUGGAGUGAAAGGCAGGGGCCCAACCCCUGGACUGCUCUGGAAACUGUCCGGCUGGAGUGCAGGAGAGGUAAGUGGAAUUCCUAGUGUAGCGGUGAAAUGCGUAGAUAUUAGGAGGAACACCAGUGGCGAAGGCGGCCUGCUGGACCGCGACUGACGUUGAGGCUCGAAAGCGUGGGGAGCGAACAGG
rnacentral:rRNA from 1 species